rnacentral:lncRNA from 1 species
UUCUUCCCUCCCAAUCCCCCCCUGCUCGCUUGCUCCACUCCUCAUCUUCUCUGGAUCCGAUCCGGUUCCUCUGUGCAAUCGGCAGGGCGCAGCGGAUUCCAGUGUUGCUCGGUUGCUCCACGCGGCGCCUCGCCUCGCCUCUGCGUCAUCCAUGGCGGCCGCAGGCGACGACCUGGACCUCCUACUCUCCCUGGACGCGGACGGCAGCGAGGCCGUCC